AUUGAACGCUGGCGGCAUGCCUUACACAUGCAAGUCGAACGGCAGCGCGGGAGCAAUCCUGGCGGCGAGUGGCGAACGGGUGAGUAAUACAUCGGAACGUGCCCAAUCGUGGGGGAUAACGCAGCGAAAGCUGUGCUAAUACCGCAUACGAUCUACGGAUGAAAGCAGGUGAUCGCAAGACCUUGCGCGAAUGGAGCGGCCGAUGGCAGAUUAGGUAGUUGGUGAGGUAAAGGCUCACCAAGCCUUCGAUCUGUAGCUGGUCUGAGAGGACGACCAGCCACACUGGGACUGAGACACGGCCCAGACUCCUACGGGAGGGAGCAGUGGGGAAUUUUGGACAAUGGGAGAAAGCCUGAUCCAGCCAUGCCGCGUGCAGGAUGAAGGCCUUCGGGUUGUAAACUGCUUUUGUACGGAACGAAACGGUCUUUUCUAAUAAAGAAGGCUAAUGACGGUACCGGAAGAAUAAGCACCGGCUAACUACGUG
rnacentral:rRNA from 1 species